UACGUAGGGUGCGAGCGUUGUCCGGAAUUAGUGGGCGUAAAGAGCUCGUAGGCGGUUCGUCACGUCGGCUGUGAAAUCCCGAGGCUCAACCUCGGGUCUGCAGUCGAUACGGGCGGACUUGAGUACUGCAGGGGAGACUGGAAUUCCUGGUGUAGCGGUGAAAUGCGCAGAUAUCAGGAGGAACACCGGUGGCGAAGGCGGGUCUCUGGGCAGUAACUGACGCUGAGGAGCGAAAGCGUGGGGAGCGAACAGG
rnacentral:rRNA from 1 species